AGGCAACUACACAGGGAACAAUGAAACCAAAGUAUGGGACACAAGGACAACACUGUCUAGCUAAUGAACGAUCCCAGCUCCCUCACAAGCUGCAGCAAGAGGAGUCCAUGCCUGAACACAAGGAGUGCUCCCCUAGGCCAUGCUGCUUAUGCACAUGCAUGCCUCUACACUUCGGGUUACAAGGGCCUUCACCACACCAGCCUGGGAUAUUUUACAUGGCAAAAAAACAGUGUUCAGAUCAAAGGCGGAAGCUGUGCUGAAGAUGAUGAAAGGAACAUGUCUGAACAUGCAGGAUCUUCAGGAGAAUCCAUCCUCAACAGGAUUCUGAAGACUAUCCACCUUCAAGAUCACCAUCAUUUUCUAUAGUUUCAGAGUUAUCUGACAGUGUCAGAUGUGUUUCAGUCACAUCAUGUAUGUCACGUAGCCACAGUAUAUCACCUGUAGCAAAAAGAAAAAAACCCUCCAUCAUCCAGAAACAACCAUAGAUAAGUUUGUGAUAAGAACCAGCAGAUUACAAAAAGAGGUAAUUGAUGAAAAAAUUGCCCGGUUUGUUUAUGCAACAAAUUCUCCUUUCCCUAUGAUUGAGAACCCACGCUUCAUUAACAUGGUUCAGUCAUGAAGACCAGGCUACAGUCCACCCAACAGAGCAGAUGUUGCAGGCAAAUUGCUGGAUAAAGUGUAUGAAAGAGAAACUGAGCAGUGUGCAAAAGGUCUAGAGGGUGAAAUUGUUAACCUGAGUCUUGAUGGGUGGAGCAAUGUCCACAAUGAUCCUGUUGUAUGUGCUUGUGUGACAACAGAAGAAGGGAAUGUCUUCCUUACAGAAACAAUUGAUACAUCAGGAAAUGCACACACAACAGAAUACCUAAAAGAAGUAGCAGUAAAAGCUAUAACAAACUGUGAAAAAAAAUUCAAAUGUCUAGUACGCAGCUUGGUCACAGAUAAUGCUGCAAAUGUAUCCAAGAUGAGAAGAAAUUAUUUAGAAGAGAGUCCCAAGCCAAUAACAUAUGGUUGCAGUGCUCAUUUGAUGUACCUCCUAGCCAAAGACUUCAGUGUUCCAGAAAUAAUUGCAAUUGCAAUUAUAAUAAUUGUUGAAAUUGCAAAUUUGCAAAAUACUUCCGUAACAACCACUUUGCAGCAGCUGCUCUGAAAAGAGUGAGAGGAACCAAGCUAACUCUCCCACAAGACGUGUGAUGGAACUCCGUAGUGGACUGUUUUGAGCACUAUAUCAAGAACUGGCCUAAUCUGAUGAGUUUGUGAACAAAAUUGUGAAAAAAUAGAUGGCACUGUCACAGCCAAAGUUCUCAACAUUGGGCUUAAGAGAAAUGUUGAGCACAUGCUAAGUACCCUGAAGCCUAUUUCUGUAGCCUUGAACAGAACGCAGGGAAAUAGCUGUUUUAUUGCUGAUGCUGUUGAAAUUUGGAAGGAAUUGAGUGAGAUCUUAAAAAGAGAAAUAUGCAAUGACAGAGUUAAAUUACAAGCAUUAAAAAAACAAAUGGAACAAGCACUAUCUCCAGCUCAUUUUCUUGCAAAUAUUUUCAAAACUCAGUACCAGGGUCAAACUUUAACUGCUGAAGAAGAGCAGUUGGCUAUGACAUGGACAUCCAGCAAUCAUCCCUCCAUAAUGCCAACUAUAAUAAACUUCAGAGCUAAGGGUGAACCAUUCAAGAAAUAUAUGUUUGUUGAUGAUGUUUUAAAGAAAGUCACACCAGUGAACUGGUAGAAAUCACUUAAGCACUUGGAUUCAGAAACUGUUGAAGUGAUAACCUCACUUUUAACAGCAGUAGCUUCUUCUGCUGGUGUAGAAAGAAUAUUUUCUUCCUUUGGAUUAAUUCAUUCCAAAUUGAAAAAUCGUUUGGGACCUGAAAAAGCAGGAAAGCUUGUUUUUCUUUUCCAGAUUAUGAACAAACAGGAAAAUGAAGGUGAAGGUGAUUGAGUUAGCUACAAAGCCAAUAUCUUAAGUUUCUCAUGUUGACCUAGCUGACAGUCUAUUUUAAUUUUUGUUUUUUGUUUUUUAAAUAUUUCAUUAACUAUUUUAGUUAAAAAAAAAUUUAACAAAAACAAACCUGAUUUUAAAAAACUUGAAUGUUUAACUAAAUUCAAAAAUUCGUAUGCUUGUUUUGUUAAAAUAUUAUGUUUGCUGUUGAAGAAAAAAAUCCAGAAUACAUAACGUUGUUUUAGUUAAAGAAAACAAUUUAAAUAUCUGUCUGGUGGUGAUCUCCUCCUAAUACAGCAUGGCAAGAAAAUCCUCCAAAUAUUAAUGAUUAACCUGUUGAAUUGGGAUAGUUCACCUCCCAAUGACUUCAUAAAUAUCUGCUUCAAUUACCUUUGGUAAAUGAAAUAACCAAACAAUCAUUCAUUUUCUGAUAUAGCUGUAAAACUAAUCUGAAAAGUUUUCAAAAUAAAACACUUUAAAAAUG